rnacentral:rRNA from 1 species
UGGGGAAUAUUGGACAAUGGGCGCAAGCCUGAUCCAGCAAUGCCGCGUGUGUGAAGAAGGCCUUCGGGUUGUAAAGCACUUUUAUCAGGAGCGAAAUCUGCAUGCUUAAUACGUGUGCAGUCUGACGGUACCUGAGGAAUAAGCACCGGCUAACUUCGUGCCAGCAGCCGCGGUAAUACGAAGGGUGCAAGCGUUAAUCGGAAUUACUGGGCGUAAAGGGUGCGUAGGCGGUUAGUUAAGUCUGUUGUGAAAUCCCCGGGCUCAACCUGGGAAUGGCAAUGGAUACUGGCUAGCUAGAGUGUGUCAGAGGAUGGUGGAAUUCCCGGUGUAGCGGUGAAAUGCGUAGAGAUCGGGAGGAACAUCAGUGGCGAAGGCGGCCAUCUGGGACAACACUGACGCUGAAGCACGAAAGCGUGGGGAGCAAACA